rnacentral:rRNA from 1 species
GAUGAACGCUGGCGGCGUGCCUAAUACAUGCGAGUCGAGCGAACAGACGAGGAGCUUGCUCCUCUGACGUUAGCGGCGGACGGGUGAGUAACACGUGGAUAACCUACCUAUAAGACUGGGAUAACUUCGGGAAACCGGAGCUAAUACCGGAUAAUAUAUUGAACCGCAUGGUUCAAUAGUGAAAGACGGUUUUGCUGUCACUUAUAGAUGGAUCCGCGCCGCAUUAGCUAGUUGGUAAGGUAACGGCUUACCAAGGCAACGAUGCGUAGCCGACCUGAGAGGGUGAUCGGCCACACUGGAACUGAGAAACGGUCCAGACUCCUACGGGAGGCAGCAGUAGGGAAUCUUCCGCAAUGGGCGAAAGCCUGACGGAGCAACGCCGCGUGAGUGAUGAAGGUCUUAGGAUCGUAAAACUCUGUUAUUAGGGAAGAACAAAUGUGUAAGUAACUAUGCACGUCUUGACGGUACCUAAUCAGAAAGCCACGGCUAACUACGUG